rnacentral:rRNA from 1 species
UGCGCCCUCGGGUCCUUCCCGGGGCCUCGCCUGUCUGAGGGUCGGAC